GGCAUCUAGGAAAUUCCCAUUGCGAACCAGCCUUCAGCAACUCAGGUCGGGGUGCAGGCUCAAGUCCGGCCCACAGUGCCAGCCCACCGGCAACCCAGCUCGCAACCUUGCACCGGCGACCUCCAGCAUUCCUCGUCCUUGUUGGGGAUCUCCACCUGCGACGCUAGGGCCUUCGCUGGUGCUGGCCGGACCGGCCUCCGCCAUGCCUUCAUCCGGAAGCGCUCGGAUGUUGUCAAGGAAACCUCCGCCGGAUUUCUCCUGCACAUCACUCAAGACACUUGGCACCCAGUUAGUUGUUUCUCCCGGAUUGUGGUGCAUGUCAUAAAAUUAAUUAUUAUUUGGCAAGUUCAUAUGCAAAGAUUCAUACAUCUAAGCUAAACUUUAAAAAGCGGGAUAUAAUAUAACUGAGCUUGGGACAGAAAAGAGACUACGAAAAGCAUGCCACAAAGAGAAACUUUUUCAGCCAAAUCAAAGGACAACCUUGGUUUCAUUGUUGGUGCUCCGACUAGUUUGGAGAUUGAAUACGUCCGCUUGGAAGGAUAUGGAAUGCAUUCUGAGGGUUGCUCUUCGCUUGAGCCUAUUAGCCGAAUCUAUCAGUCAUUUAGUAGUGUUUUUCUUUAACAACAAAUCAGCGAACAAUACUUUCUAUUAUGGCUUAUCAGCCAAACGACGAGAACUAUGGUGAUGGAGAGGAAGAGAAACACUGUAGCUAUUUGUUUGUUGCAGUACUGCCUAACCGAAUAGAAUUCUGAGGGGCAUGCAAAGCAGCGUGCCCUAAAUUUGGCUGCCAAAUCUUUAGCAUGGCAAAUUUUGAACGCGAACUAAGUACGCCCUAAAUUUGGAUGGUUUCUAUUAGCUAAUGAUGUGGAUUACUGUGAAAUUAGAUACACUUUUAUUAUAGUGGCCUUUUGCUUUAUAAGAGAUAUAGACAGUUGACUUUUUAUAAUUGAAUUAUAGAUUUAGAUUAAUAAAUUUUUGUGAUAUUAUAGUUUACCUUUUGCACCAGUUAUUGUCCUAUUUCAUUAUUUUUCGUCUUUCUUUCUUGCAUGGAGGAGCUAGCACAUUAUUUGUUUUGCCUGUUGCCUUAUCUUGACUCUUAUCGCUUCUCUACCAUGCUGGAUGUUUUCUUCGUUGUGUACCAUUGGCAUCGUCGUGGUGAUGGUACUGGUCUCUGACAACUGGUGGGAUCCUUGGCCGGGUGUGGUUAUCUUGUCACCUGUCUGCAUAUAUAGCUACACUGUGGCUGUCACGAGAUGAAGGUGUAAUGUAUAUAUGUUGAGCUCUAUGCAACGAGGACAGCUGGAAGGGACAGUGACCUUAUCACCAAGCUCCUAGCAUCUGAGAAAUAAUUAAGCCAAUGAGGGGCAUCUUGUAGUUAAUAUAUAGAGUAAAAUACACUGACGGCCCUUUAACUUGUCAGCAUGUGCCAUUUUGGUCCAUGAACUUGUAAACUCGAAAAAGUGACCCAUGAACUUGUUCAUCUAUGCCACUUUGGUCCAUAAACUUGCAAACGCAAAACAGUGGCCCCUGAACUUGUCGGCCUGUGCCACUUUGGUUCAUGCGUGUAAAGGCUCUUUCAACGCGUCAACAAAUAUUUGUUUAUUUC
rnacentral:lncRNA from 1 species